rnacentral:misc_RNA from 1 species
GAAAUGCGAUAAGUAAUGUGAAUUGCAGAAUUCAGUGAAUCAUCGAAUCUUUGAACGCACCUUGCGCUCCUUGGUAUUCCUUGGAGCAUGCCUGUUUGAGUAUCAUGAAAUCUUCAAAGUAAAUCUUUUGUUAACUCAAUUGGUUUCUACUUUGGUAUUGGAGGUCUUUGCAGCUUCACACCUGCUCCUCUUUGUUCAUUAGCUGGAUCUCAGUGUUAUGCUUGGUUCCACUCGGCGUGAUAAGUUAUCUAUCGCUGAGGACACUGUAAAAGGUGGCCAAGGUAAAUGCAGAUGAACCGCUUCUUAUAGUCCAUUGACUUGGACAAUACUUUUAUGAUCUGAUCUCAAAUCAGGUAGGACUACCCGCUGAACUUAAGC